AAAAUGCGGUAAGUAAUGUGAAUUGCAGAAUUCAGUGAAUCAUCGAAUCUUUGAACGCACAUUGCGCCCGCCAGUAUUCUGGCGGGCAUGCCUGUUCGAGCGUCAUUUCAACCCUCAAGCUCAGCUUGGUGUUGGGACUCGCGGUAACCCGCGUUCCCCAAAUCGAUUGGCGGUCACGUCGAGCUUCCAUAGCGUAGUAAUCAUACACCUCGUUACUGGUAAUCGUCGCGGCCACGCCGUAAAACCCCAACUUCUGAAUGUUGACCUCGGAUCAGGUAGGAAUACCCGCUGAACUUAAGC
rnacentral:misc_RNA from 1 species